AUUUUAGUAGAGUAGCUUUUGAAGAAAUCAGAGAAAAGUAUAAACCCUGUGCUUGCUUUGGCUUUUCCUACUCAGUCAUCAACUUGAAAUGGUGUGAUCCCCAUUCUAUUUGAACCCAAUAAAGCAAAGAAAAGCAGAGCCAAUGUUCCAAAGUAGUCGUUUUUACACUCUCCACAGCCACAGAGCAGCACAGAACUAGCUUCAAAAAAUUUUUGAAAAAAACUUUUUUUUAGCCUUUUUGUGUAACCCAACAGAGGGGAUCUCUUCAAAAUUCUGAAUUUGUCUGAGUCUCUGAAAAUCAGAAUCGCACUAUCAUUGAUUCCUUUUCUCUUUAGCAUAAAAAAUUCACAUUCCUUUAAAUCUUUUCCUGUUUUUAAGUCUAUAAUCUCUGAACCUUUUGUUUUUCUUCAAAGACUAUACGCGUACGCUCUGGUUCUUGCUUCGUACUCGUAGGCUUUCUUCGUAGUGUUCUCUUUCUUCACUGUGUUUCAACCAACUUUUCAUUUAACAAUAUUUCAAUUUGUUUUUCGUUGAAUUCCUUUUUUUUUUAAUUUUCCUUUUCUUUCCCGCCCAUUAAUCUUUUCUUCUUUUUCCCUUUUUCUAAUGUUGAAGUCAUGAAAUUUUCAUUUUUUGCUUUGAAAGGCCAGUGCUUUGUUGGUUCUAACUUUUGUGCCAUAAAUGAUGCGUAUAGUCAUAUUCACUUGCAGAAAUCGUUAAUCGCAGAUUUAGGGAGAGAUUUAAGGAGGUGAUUAUGGGUGGAAGUGGUAAAGUGGAAGUGAUCACCAGCAAGGGGUGCUCAAGAAUGUUUAUGGGAUUUUCAGCUUCAAUCCCAUCUUUUAGAGGAUUGCAAUCCUUCGAGCCAAUGUCUCCUUUCACAUCCUCAGUUGGGUCUGAACCGGUGUUGGUUCGAUCAAGCGGUCCAUUUGCUGGUCUUGUUAUAUGUGUUACAGGUCUAUCUAAAGAAGCAAGGAAGCAAGUAAUGGAAGCAACAGAGAGAUUAGGCGGUCAAUACAGCCCUAAUUUGCAUCCUCAGUGUACUCAUUUGGUGGUCCAGAUAUCCUUUAAUUGGUUUAUUGGGGGAACAUAGGUUUUAUAAUUUUAUGAUUUAAUAUGAAAAAUGGAGAAUUUAGGAAAAAAUAUGCCCUCUUGCUAUGUGCUUCCUGUGAAUGGAUUAGUACAUUGGCUGUGUAUGAGGAGAAAAUUUUGAACCAUCUUCAGUUGGAUAGAAGGGAAAUCAGAAACUUAAAACAAUGGCAAAGGAGACCAUAUUAUCUGAUUUCAUGUUUUUCCUCUUUCCUUGUUGAAUCUGUUUGAUGCUUAUUGAUAAAUGACAAGGAAGAAUUUGUCUUUUAAUCCUAGAACAUAUACUCAGUAAGAUUCUUAUUCUCACCAAUGCAAUGCUCUUAUGAUACCUUAACACUAAAUACAGCUUUGGCGGGCGCAAGUUUGAGCAUGCUUUGAAGCAUGGAUCAAAAAAUGGUCUCUUUGUUGUUGCACUUGGAUGGUUUGUGGACAGUGUCAGGAGGAAUGUGAGGUUGAGUGAAUCACUUUACAGUGUCAAGAGUGUUGGGGAAAAUGAUGUGCGGUUGGAUGACUUAAAUCGACUUGUUGGUCUCAGUGGCACUGAAAAUUCCUGUCUUCCUGUUGGUUUUAAUGAUCCUAAGAAAUUUGAAUUGACUGAAGGACUGAGUAAAAAAUCGUCUGUAAGAAGUUCUGAUAGAAGUAUUGAAGCAACUUUGUCCGGUAACUCCUUGUAUGUUGAUUCAGACAUUUCAGAUGAACUGCGGAAUAAGGUUUAUGAGGCGGCUACCAGAGAAGGUGCCACGUUUUUGGAUCGAUGGUUUGUUGGCUGCAGUGCAAGUCAUGUAGUAUGUGAAGGAGCUUCUAUCCAAAGAUAUCUUGGCCACUCUAACAACCUUGUGACUCCACUUUGGGUACUAAAAACAGCCAAGGAGAAACACGUCCAGAGGCUUGUUCAGAUGUCUGCUGGUUUGGCCAGACAGGUUGGGAUGAUCCUUGAAGAUUUUCAAAAUGGCAUUGCUGGCCAGGAAAUAAAUGGGGGAAAUGCCCCUCAAGAUGCUCAGAGUUUGAGGAGUAAAGCAAGCUAUGGAGAAAGGCAACAGAUUGUGAAUUUUGCUAAAAAUGGGGUUAGAAGUCGUCGUAGUUGUCAAAUGCAGGUUAGUGAUUAUUCCUUGUGCUGUGAGGCUUUUCUAGCAUAGUUGAUUAUUCUGGAUUUAUGAGCUUAUCUAUCUCUCUUUCGUUCUUUCUUUAGUUUUGUGCCCACAUUUGCCUUCAGUGGUUAAGACACCCAGUUUUGCUUUAUGUUUACUUUGGUCACAUCAUAAAGCGCAUUUGAUUGUAUUUGUAUUUAGGAGUUAGGACACUGGUACUUGCCAUAUUAUAAAUGUUUCUGAUUGACAUUUACUUAAGAUGGCCAUUGUCUGGUAAAAGGUUAUCUUAGCUAUUGUGUUGCUAAGUGAAGGUCUGGUGGGAAAGGCUAAGAGAGUGUGGCCUUCAGUAUUUUUGCAUGAAGUGACAGCUCAAAAGAAUUGGAACUACACUGCUAAGGGACAAUUUUCGGUGCAGUUCUAAAAAUAUAGGUAAACCAAGCACUACUGAAUGUAUUCAAGUCUUUGGAGCGGUCUUUUCAUUCAAAAUACCAUAUGAUAGGACCAUGACCAUAUGAAUCCUAUGGAUAUGGUAAUCAAAUAAUAAUUUUCGACUGAAAAUUCCCUAGACAUGGCAUGUAUUAGGGGUCCUUGCUUUCUGCAUGCCUGCUGAGUGAUUGAUAACAAAUAGCAAAUAGCAAUGCAAGCGGUGAAAUCUUGCAAAUUUGUCACUCCCUUUUAAGAGUGUAUAUUUGGGAAGGUUCAUCUGACUUAAUAUUGAACAAUGCAUUACUUGUGUUAAUGUGAACCGUGGCAAUUGUGAAUUCUGUGGGUUCUUACAGACCUGUCAAACCCCAAUUCGUCCAAUAACCCCAAGCAGCCUUCUGGAUUCAAUCUGCUGGUCAAUAUCUGAGCCAACCUCAACUGCUUCUAUUUACACAGACUCCUUGAGUUGUGAUGAUGUUAGUGAACAUCAUACCUCUGUGUUCUUUGAUGUGAAGGGGGACAACAAGGAUUCAGAAGCUUCCUUUGCAAACCUAACACGACCACUUACAGAAAGGUUCUUUCUCUCUAAUGUACUUGGAUUCUCUAAAUAGUUUGUUGUCUUACUGCAUUCUUUUCUGUGUUUCCAUGCAGUGAGAAAACUGAGUUGAUAUUUAAGAACCACUUUCUGACCGUACUGUUUCCCAUUGACCGGUUUUCCGAAAUGGGACCUUCUUCAAGAACCUUUUUCAGUGAAAAUGGUUUCACAUGUUUGCAGGUGUUAGAUCAUAUAUAUGCAUUUUAUCAGGAGAAUAUGUCGGCUUCAGAAAUAGAAGUUGCAAUUCACACUGAUUCAAGGCAUGCUGAUCGGCUCCGAUCAGUAUACUCCAGUAAAGAAACAGCCGGGCUUGGUUAUGUAAUUUUCAAACGGAUUGACUUCUUAGGAAGCCGCAAGAGUUUUGAAAUGUUAAAGCGAGUUGCUGGGGACAACAACAGUAAUGUAUAUGAACUGUUGAUUAGAGCAUAAUGUGAUCUCGUCAGGUAUGAACGAGUAGCUGGUAAAUGGCGACCCAUCAGAGAUGUUUGUUACAAAGCCGUUAGCUUGAAGACAAGAACUACACCUUCUAACAUGCUGAGUCCACAAUUUUCCAAAGAAUGGAAUGCAGGUUUCUACUUCGAACAACAUAAUUAUCUUUUCCCAUAAAUAUAUAUACAGAUAUCAUAUCCUUUCUUUAAGUGUGCAUGAGGAACGGUAAAGAAUGAAAUAUCAAUAGACUUUGUUAUUCUUUUUUACACAGGCACCCCCUCCAAAGAUUGAGGGAAAUUCCUGUACAUCAUACUAUGUAAAUUGAAUAUUUGCACGUUAAGUUUGUAACUGGGAAACUUUUGAUCCAUGAGCUUCAACAAAAGAUGAGUGAUUGAG
rnacentral:misc_RNA from 1 species